rnacentral:rRNA from 1 species
AACGAACGCUGGCGGCAUGCCUAACACAUGCAAGUCGAACGAGACCUUCGGGUCUAGUGGCGCACGGGUGCGUAACGCGUGGGAACCUGCCCUUAGGUUCGGAAUAACUCCCCGAAAGGGGUGCUAAUACCGGAUAAUGUCGUCGGACCAAAGAUUUAUCGCCUUUGGAUGGGCCCGCGUUGGAUUAGCUAGUUGGUAGGGUAAAAGCCUACCAAGGCGACGAUCCAUAGCUGGUCUGAGAGGAUGAUCAGCCACACUGGGACUGAGACACGGCCCAGACUCCUACGGGAGGCAGCAGUGGGGAAUAUUGGACAAUGGGCGAAAGCCUGAUCCAGCAAUGCCGCGUGAGUGAUGAAGGCCUUAGGGUUGUAAAGCUCUUUUACCCGGGAUGAUAAUGACAGUACCGGGAGAAUAAGCUCCGGCUAACUCCGUG